UCGGAGGAAAACAUGUCAAAAGAUUGGACGUCGGGCCAAAGGAUUGGUCGACGUAUCGACAUAAGGCUUCGAGCCAUGGAUUUGGGCAUCGGGCCAAGAAGAGCAUAUAUUGCACCAAGGAUAUCAGAGUUCUAGAGAUCAACUGGACAAUUGGGUAAUAGGCCGCAAGAGAGGACGAUGCGCCGAAGAAUCGGAAGAAGCGUCG
rnacentral:lncRNA from 1 species